UACGUAGGGUGCAAGCGUUAAUCGGAAUUACUGGGCGUAAAGCGUGCGCAGGCGGCUUUGCAAGACAGAUGUGAAAUCCCCGGGCUUAACCUGGGAACUGCAUUUGUGACUGCAUGGCUGGAGUGCGGCAGAGGGGGAUGGAAUUCCGCGUGUAGCAGUGAAAUGCGUAGAGAUGCGGAGGAAUACCGAUGGCGAAGGCAGCCCCCUGGGCCAAUACUGACGCUCAUGCACGAAAGCGUGGGGAGCAAACAGG
rnacentral:rRNA from 1 species